GUGCUCUCUUUGGCAGCACAUAAACUAAAACUGGAAUGCUAGCAGAUUAGCAUGGCCCCUGUGCAAGAACAACACACAAAUUUUUGAAGUGUUCUGUAUUUUU